CGGAUGCUGCGCCGUCAGCCGCGUCGAAGCGAAGGUGGAGCGUGCCGGCGCCUGUGAGAGCCCGGCGGGAACGGCGCUCGGUUCUGGGCACGGCAGCCUGGAAGCUGCCCUGCGCCGGCGUGACCCCAGGUUUUCUCCGUCACUUGCCUGGGAUGAGUAUUUAUGAACGUGCUGUGUCUUUUGACUCUUUAUGUUGGAACUCAAAACUACGUUGAUGAAAGCUCUUUUGCCACAUGGUAAAACACGGGUAACCAGGAGGCUUAAGGAGCGUCGUUCGGUCAUUGCUUCCUCAGCGUCAGCCGUGGCUGAUCUCACCAGUGGCAGGAUACCCAGAGAUGAGUGAGCAUUGGUCUGACCAAAAUAGGAAGACCUACUGCACAUUUCUGUAGCUGGCCAGCAAAUGAGGGAGGACUCCCGCUAAAGCAACUACAUCAGUCUAUACUCUUUUUUUGAAAACCAUGCAAGAACUGAAUACCCUGUACUAGACAACACUUCUCUCUGUAGAAAAAAAGUUUUGGGGGUAAUGCCGCAGCAGGGAAGUGAUUUCUGCUAUCACUAAGAAAUUGACGGUGGUGGAGGGGCAGCAGAGUACUUGGAAAAGAGCUACAAGGCAAGUUAAACUGUAAGUUUUAUGAUAUGAGCCUGAUAUUAACUAUCAACAUUUUGAUUUCCUUAGGAAACUACUUAACAUUUUUUAAAUUAAUUUAAGAUUUCUCGCUUGUUGAAACAUGGUUGGAAAUUGUUUAAGCCAGUGAAACAGCUGUGGGUUUUAGCGUAGGAGUUAGCGUAGAAAUCCAUCAGUCAUAUCCUUUAUAUAAAAAUUAAGCAUUAGUAUACAAUAGAGAGUAUCUUUGUUUUGUUUCGAUGUCUCAAUCAUAAUCCACAGCAAAAAUUAAAAGCUGGUAAACAGUCAUUCCAUAAUGCCUCGACUUAAUUUAUGGAUUAUUUUACUAAAUGGAAGAUGAGCUUUUUGCCUUUCACAGUAGUGGAGUCACGGUGCAAUAGACCAGCAGAGGGCGAAAGUCCCACUGCUGUGCUUCCUGAGGUGGCGGAUAGGCCCUCGGUUUCUAGGAGCUGAAUGCUAGGGCAUAGCUACAAGUUUUUAUCUGACCUGAAUCCAACAAAAAGUAGAAAGGUAACAAUUCUUUUAGGUUGAAAGGUUCAAAAUUAGAAAGGAAAUUUUGAAAUAAAAAAAGUCAAGCAAUUUCAGUGCAAUAUUUUAGCACACGGAAAACAAAUGUAUUAAGUAAGUGGGGCUAGUUGAAAUUUGUUAAUGCCGGCCACCAUCAUGCACAUUAGCUUCAGAUGAC